CAACACCCACAGAGGCACAGAAUGUCCUCUGCAAGGUGUUUACGGUAACAAGGGAUUGGAAACAACCUAAAUGGCCAUCAGCAGGAGUCUGAAUUAACAGAUGAAUUGCAUAGUCACACCAUAGAAUACCGUGUGGUUUUCUGAAAGGAUGGGCAUUGAGCACUUUGGAGAGAGCGAGCCCCUACCUUCCUCCCGGGCGGACCGGAGCUCAAUGCGGGUCUUCUGAAGGGCUUCCUCUAGCUCUGCACAGCGAGCUUUCUCCUUCUCCAGGGCCAGCUUCAGCUCAUUGUACUGCAGAGGAACCUGUGUGGGCAAAGCAGGGUCCUCUUUCCGUCGACUAAAUAAACCCUAGCAAUGGAAACAGAGAUAUCUCCUAACUCCUGGAAACUGGCACUUGAAACUAGCUAAAGGAAAUCUGACUCGGGAGGAGCAAACCACAAAAGCCAGGAGCAUACUCACUGUAAGUGUAUUUAGUAAAAAUGGCAUGUGAAGGGGGGGAAGGGUAGGCUGAGCCACAGCCCGUUCCAGCCGGCUGAAAAAAAUUGGGGUGCGGAAGUUUUCACCAAGAGGAUUAAAGAUGCUUGAAUGGUCACUCUUCCUUUAGCAUUGCCAAGACAGGAGAGUCAUGUCCUGAGUCUUUCCCAUUCAAAAAAUGGAAUCAGGAGAGUAUGGUGUAUGGAGUCAGGAGAGAUGGUUCAGAGGUCACUCUUGCCUUGGAAUAUGCCUCGUGAUGCUCAGUUACAAGACACAGAGAUGAGUGUUUUGUAAAAGGAAGCAAAAUUUAAAAAGGAAUGCUAAAAUGAGAUCAAAACAAGGGACUUACUAAAAAAGAAUGCAAAUGGAAAUAUUUACAUGAAAAAAAGGAAAACAGAAUAAUGCAACUUAAAAAAAAGUUAAUUAAAAAAAAAUACAAAUGGAAACACCCUAACUAAAUCAAGUGACAUAACCAGAUAAGAGUUCACUGCUAAAAUAAAAAAGAUUAAAUAUCGUAAGCAUAACAACCAUAUACAGUCAUGCAGCAUGCAAGAAAAUCCUUCCCGUGCAGCCAAUAUCUAGCGGCAGGCAGCCUCUGAAUGCUGGGCUCAUCCCCUUAGAGGGAAGAUGGCACCGGAAAUACAGAGACCACUGUCGACUUCAGUCCUCCACUCCUUCCUCCUAGGUAUUCUAAGUCAUCAAGGCCUCCCCCGUAAAACCAUUGCCACUGCCACUAUGGUAUGCUUCUGCAUUUGGAAGGAAACUGCAAGCUCCUCCGAGACUUUUCUGGAACUGAGAACACCUGGCUAAACCUAGUAUGAAGGCUUCAGUGGUUUGGAAAAGCAUGUAUUGAUCAGGCUUAUGAAAAACAAUCUUCUCAUGUGCACUACAUAUAACCCUGCCCCUAGUCUGUCAUCUGUUUGUCUCUUACAAUCUAAAAGGGAUGUUUGGUACUUGGCAGAGGGGAUAACAGUCCAGUCAGACACUACAGGCAGGUCACUCCAGCUCCCUGAGUUCUAGUCUCUUUGUGAGCCAAUCAAAAGGACUGGAAUAGACCACUGUUAAAGUCCUUUCUGGAGUGUGGUACAAGGACCUGAACUGCUGAGGCCCUAUCCUCGUGACUUGCUAACUCCCUCUAGAGUCACGUAAGCAUGACUUAGGUAUAAAUCUUUCUCUCUGCAUACACCCCCUCUGCCCCAGCUGCUAUGUGUAUGUGUGGGCUGGGGAGGGAUUACUUCUUUAACAGAGAAAGAUACUACGAUUUCAAUGGCCAUAAACAAAAAGUAGUUUGUUAGACUUGAUCAACGAUAUCUUUUGAUAAGACCUAUUGUAAUUAUCUCAAAAUCUAUUUUUCAACCCAAAAUAAAACAAAAAAAAAAUGUG